AAUUGCAACGUUCGCUUCUUCGUUUCAUAACUGCCCUAUUUUCUUCUUCAAUCUCCUUCAAUCGAUCCUCUUCCAAAUUCCAAAAAUGUUUCUUCUCACUAUUCUACAACCAUUUCAUCUACCAUGACUCACAUACAUAACCCUAAACACUUCGUGCUCCUUUACCUUUACCUUAGCGAAACACAAAAGUGGGUUCAAUCAAUUGAUUAGGUCUAGCAAGAGCAACGAGAAUUUCAAUGGAUGUCGAUGCUUUUCAACCAUGGUUUCCAGAGACACUCAUGAGAUUUCACCCUUCGCUGUUAGGUGUUCCACCUUUUGGAGAAAUUUUGAUAAUAACAGCUUUAAUUAUGUUCAAUCGAGGCGAUUUAUUGGGUUGGUGGAGAUGGUGCCGAACAUGUUCUCUUCAAAACUUACGAGGAGAAGCGCGUUUUGUGGUCUGAAGCGUACGCAACAAGAACAAUUGGAAAACUGACAAAAAAACAGGAGGACACUUGUCUGGGCAACCCCUGAUGGUUAAUGGAGGUGGUCAUAAACUGACUACUAAUGAUGCCUUAUCAUAUCUCAAGGCAGUAAAGGAUAUUUUUCAAGAUAAGAGGGAUAAAUAUGAAGAUUUUUUGGAGGUCAUGAAAGAUUUUAAAACACACAGGUUUGAUCAUGUUGAACCGCAUUCUUGGUGCUCCAAUUUUUUAUAUGUAUAUUCGAUUGGGGAUUUUGAAUUUGUUAGUUGUAAAUGAUUUUUCUUUCUCCUUUUGGUGCAUUUGUAUAAUUGAUACUGCUGGUUUCAUAGCAAGAGUGAAGGAUCUUUUUAGAGGUCAUAGAGAUUUAAUUUUGGGAUUUAACACAUUUUUGCCAAAGGGGUAUGAAAUCACCCUUCCAAUUGAGGAUGAUCAACCUCACUCAAAAAAUCCUGUUGAAUUUGAAGAAGCUAUGAGUUUUGUGAACAAGAUAAAGACUCGAUUUCAUGGUGAUGAUCAUGUUUACUAGGCAUUUCUAGACAUAUUAAAUAUGUACAUAAAGGAGAAUAAGUCUAUCGACGCGGUCUACCAGGAGGUUGCUGCACUCUUCCAAGACCACCCAGAUCUUCUUGAUGGGUUUAUUCAUUUACUUCCCGAUGUUUCCGCAGCUGCCUCUGCUCAUUCUGUUGCUCGGAAUUCUGGGUUUCGAGAUAGGAACUCUUCACUGCAAACAGUGCGGCAACUGCAUGUUGAAAAGAUUGCGGAAAACAACACUUUGUUUUAAUUCCACUAUACAAUAGGGGUAUAGUGGCACUGUGGUUACUAUGUGACAACAUUUCAUACUAAAUAACGUGAUGGAACAAAAUCGAUUUAUUCAAAUUCCAAUAUGCCAUAGCUGCUAUUUAACAAACACUGAACGCCCGAGGGGACCGACACCUCUUGCUGAUUGAGGCUUUACUCAUUCAGUAAGGCGCUGCCGUGCUUGCCUCUACGGUAUUUAUGGUUCAUGUGAGGCAUGCCUUCAACAGAUUAUUGAUAGCUAUAACAAGUCUAAUGCCAGCUGUUUAGCGUGCCUUCAACAGAUCGAGGUGAAGUGUUUCUUUCAGCAGGUGCAAUUGGGUCUCCCCAGCUUCUUCUUCUCAGUAGAAUUGGACCAAGGCCUUAUCUUUCUUCAUGAAGAAGCCCAGUCAAUCAAAGUAGAGAAUAUAUUGUUCAAGGAAAAGUCAUUAUACCAAGAGGUCUUGGUUUUUGAGUCAUUAACAUUUGGUAACACUGAUAAGGAUAUGAACUUCUUGUAUUUACCGAAGAAUGCAUUCAAUCUAAUGAACAAACGGCCACGGGGCUCCGAAGCGAAUUACUAAAGGCAGAUAUAUUAGUGAUUAUUGAUGUUACAAACAAAGAGUCAGUUAACUGGAUUAAAAUCAACACAAAAACUAUUGAAAAUGUAAUAUGCUUCGACUCUUCGCCAGAUUUGAAGAACAGAUUAGGAAGCUAUGAUAUUCAUAAUGAAGUGAAAGGAAGUAUAUUUGGAAAAAUAUUGGGCAGUUCCGAGUUAGAUAAAUUGUAAGACUCAUACGAAGUAGUACAAACUGUAUCCGAAGCAUGGGAACAGCGUAGUUAUAAUGAUAUACGAUUUUGUUUACUAUUGUUAAUCAAUGCUUAUAUAAGGCCAGUUCCAAUAUUGAAGAACUUAAGAGCAAAGGGUUUUUCAACUUUGAACUGUAUGUUGAAGAACUGCGGCCGUCAAGUACUUAACUACUUGCUGGAUCCUAAUUGUAGAAAAGCUCUUCAAUGCUUGAAUAA